AUGCACGCUAGCUACCGGCUUAACACAUGCAAGUCGAGGGGCAGCAUGAACUUAGCUUGCUAAGUUUGAUGGCGACCGGCGCACGGGUGAGUAACACGUAUCCAACCUGCCGAUGACUCGGGGAUAGCCUUUCGAAAGAAAGAUUAAUACCCGAUGGCAUAGUUCUUCCGCAUGGUAGAACUAUUAAAGAAUUUCGGUCAUCGAUGGGGAUGCGUUCCAUUAGGUUGUUGGCGGGGUAACGGCCCACCAAGCCUUCGAUGGAUAGGGGUUCUGAGAGGAAGGUCCCCCACAUUGGAACUGAGACACGGUCCAAACUCCUACGGGAGGCAGCAGUGAGGAAUAUUAGUCAAUGGACGAGAGUCUGAACCAGCCAAGUAGCGUGAAGGAUGACUGCCCUAUGGGUUGUAAACUUCUUUUAUACGGGAAUAAAGUGAGGCACGUGUGCCUUUUUGUAUGUACCGUAUGAAUAAGGAUCGGCUAACUCCGUG
rnacentral:rRNA from 1 species